GAAUCCCUCCAGAAUUCCCCCAAUUCCCUCCCUCCAUAGGUCUCGUAUCUCUUUCCCCCAAUUUCUAUUUCCCCCAAUUCCUUCCCCCGAUUCAUUCUAUUUCCCUUAAUAGGCAACGAACUCCCAAUUUUCUAACUUUAGAUUCUUCUAUUUCUCCCAAUCUGUUUCUGUGGCUAGAAGAAUCGAGAUUCAAAUCAGAAAUUCAUUUAGCAGCUUCAAUAAUCUUCAGGUAGCCGGGAGAUAAAAAACUGCUGGUGAAUCUAUUGGGAUCGAGGUCGACAAUAAAACAUUUGAUAGCCAUGCCAAUUGAUAAAUCUUGGAUUAGCAAAUCACGAAACACACCUGAAUAUGCAGAUGGUCUAAGACAAUUUUUCUUUCCAAAAUGUGGUUUUAACAAGUGGCAAAGAAGAGAUAUAGUUGAAGAGCACCUGAUUCUUAAACCUUUCCCAAAAAACUAUAAAUUUUGGUAUUGGCAUGGUGAAGAAUCAAAUGCAACCGUGCAACAAAUUUCUCAGAGCACCCAUGUCAUAGAAGAUAAUUUACAGCCCCAAGAUCCAAUGGAAAUUAUAAUUAAUGAUGCGUUUGGGUUCACCAGAAACAAUGUCAACGAGCUUGGUGUGUCUUCUAAUCAUAUAAAUAGAGAAGAAAUAUUUGAUGAAGGGCACAUUGAGGGGCAUAAUGAAGAUUAUAUAAAGUUCUAUGAAUUGGUCGAAGAUGGAAAUCAACCAUUAUACGAAGGAUGUACGAAGUAUUCCAAAUUGUCCUUUCUAAUCAAAUUGUAUCAUAUAAAAUGGCUUUGUCGAAUGACUGACAAAGCGAUGAACAUAAUAUUAGAAUUGUUAAAAGAUGCCUUUGAAGAUGUCAAGAUUCCUGAUUCUUUUUAUGAGGUCAAGAAAACCAUCAACAAACUUGGUCUUAAUUAUACCAAGAUACAUGCCUGCCCAAAUGAUUGUAUGUUAUAUUUUGGCGAAGAUGAAGGCUUGCAAGAAUGCAAAAGAUUCAAGACAUCUAGGUGGAAGGAUAAUAAGAAGAAGUAGCCUGCAAAGAUAAUGCGCUACUUUCCACUAAAGCCAAAGUUGCAAAGAUUGUUCAUGUGCUCUAAAACUGCCGAGUCUAUGAGUUGACAUUCUUUAGAGGGUAGCCACGAUGGAUUGAUGAGGCAUCCCAGGGAUUCUCAGGCUUGGAAAACUUUUGACUUGCUUCAUCCUGAAUUUGCUGCAGAUCCUCGAAAUGUACGGCUAGGCCUAUCUAGAGCUAGUGACGGUUUCAAUCCUUUUGGAGCAAUGGCAACUAACAUAGUAUCUGGCUAGUGGUACUUAUUCCAUACAACCGUCCUCCUUGGAAGUGCAUGAAACAAACUUCAUUCAUACUCUCAAUGAUCAUUCUAGGAAAACAAAUGUCGGACAAUGACAUAGACGUGUAUUUACAACCUCUCAUCCAAGAGUUGAGGGAAUUGUGGUACGAUGGAGUGCAGACAUUAGAUUCUUCAAAGAAUGAAAUAUUUAAAAUGCGAGGAGCAUUUAUGUGGACAAUUAGUGAUUUUUCUCGGCUUCGUACAUUAUUUGGAUGGAAUACAUACAUUCAGUUUGCUUGCCCCACAUGUAACUUUGAUACAGACUCUUGCAGAUUGAAGCAUAGUAGAAAGUGAUAUUUUAUGGGUCAUCGUCAUUUUUUUGGAAGCGACCGUCGGUUUAGAUUGCAACAUGUUCAUUUUAAUGGGAAAAUCAAGCAACGGGAGCCACCAAUUGCAUUAUCAGGGUCAGACAUCUUGAAACAAGUGGAGAGCAUUAAUGCUAAUUUUGGGAAAGUACCAGUUUUGCAUGAUAAAGGUAAAAGAACUCGAAGACACACUGUUAAUGAAGAUAGAUUGAGACAACGCAGAAAGAUGGGCAUAUUUUUUUAUCUUCCUUACUGGAAAAUGAACUUGUUACGUUAUAAUCUAAACCUUAUGCGCAUUGAGAAGAAUAUGUGUGAGAAUGUGAUAUACACUUUACUCAAUGAUUCUGAAAAAUAAAAAGACAAUAUUAAAGCUAGGAAGGAUCUUAGAGAAAUGGGUAUAAGGAAGGAACUUUGGGCAGAUGAGAAUGAAAGCUAUCGUCCAUCUUUGUUUACUAUUUUAAAUACAAAGAAAGGUGUAUUCAAGAAAGAUAUAUUUUUGCGGAGCUUAAAGAAUGUCAAAAUGCCUGAUGGAUAUGCGAGCAACAUUUAAAGAUGUAUCGACUUGAAACAACAGAAGCUCUUUAAUAUGAAGAGUCAUGCUUUUCACAUUCUCAUGCAGCACUAGUUACCAAUUGCCAUACGAAAUAUUUUACCUGACAAAGUGACUGUAGUGUUAAUAUAGUUGAGUUUGUUCUUCCGAAAACUCUGUCCCAAAAGCCCAAUAGACCUUGAUAGGCUUCAAUAUCGAUAUUUUCUCACAAUGAAUUACUUGGAAAUGUUAUGCCCUCCAGCGUUCUUUACCAUCAUGAUUCAUUUAACUUGUCAUCUAGAUGGUGAAGCAAACCUUGGGGGAUCGCAACAGUGUCGAUGGAUGUAUCCUAUGGAGAGGUAUUUGGGACAUUUUAAGUCCUAUGUGCGAAACAUGUCACAACUAGAAGGUUCCAUGGCUGAAGGAUACCUAGUUGAAGAGGCUCUCACUUUCUGUUCUCAGUAUUUUGAAGGGAUUGAGACAAGAAUUAAUAGGCCUUGUCGUGUUGAUGAUUAUCCGGAGGAUAGAGGCUCGACGAACUCAUCUAGCAUUUUUUCACCUGUUGGUAAAGGAGUAGCAACAAAAAUAUUUGAUUUGUCACCUAUAGUGAAACGUCAAGCACAUCGAUAUGUGGUACUAAAUUGUCCACAAGUCAUGUCGUUCAUUGAGUGAGUAUUUAAUGCAAAUCUAAAUAAACCUUAUAUUAAAUAUGUAGAACUUACAUAAAUGAUUAAUAUUUGUAUCACCAUUUCAUGUAGUUAAUUUAAAGAUCAUGUACGAAUGCGUUGGAAUGGUCGAAAGCCUACUAGUACGGAAAUUGAGAAGAUAGUUAAUAAAGACUUCAUUGAUUGGUUUCCCCAAAAGAUUGUGAACCCAGACAUUUCGAAUACUGUAUCAGAUUACCUAAAGUUUUUAGCAGAUGGUCUAACACCACAUGCUAGAAGGUUUACAUCAUUUAAUAUCAACGGGUUCAAAUUUCGGACUUCAGAGCGAGAGGAUGGAUUGAAAACUCAAAACAGUGGAGUAUUUUGUACUUCAUCCACAUCUUGUAUUGCUAGUGGCGCUGAUAGAAACCUAAGGCAAGCGGAUUUGCCAUAUUAUGGCAAAUUAGAAGACAUCAUUGAACUUAACUACUAUGGUCGAUUUUGGGUUACACUAUUCAAGUGUAAAUGGGAUGACACAACUAGGGAUAGGGGGUUUAGAAUAGAUGCAUGUGGAUUUUCUUCUGUUAAUUUUUCACGAUUGAUUCAUACUAGCGAUCAUGAAGAGGAUGGUCCAUACAUUGAAGCUUCACAAGCUCAAAUGUAUAUUAUGUGGACGAUGAGGUGAAUAAAUGUUGGAGUAUUAUUGUUCACUUGAAACCAAGAGACUUAUAUGAUAUGGGAGGAGAAGGAGAUAAUGAAUUUCAUGAGAA